GGAUUAGAUACCCUGGUAGUCCCAGCUGUAAACGGUGUGCACUUGGUGUGGGUGGAUUUGUCCCCAUCCGUGCCGGAGCUAACGCGUUAAGUGCACCGCCUGGGGAGUACGGCCGCAAGGCUAAAACUCAAAGGAAUUGACGGGGGCCCGCACAAGCGGUGGAGUAUGUGGCUUAAUUCGAAGCAACGCGAAGAACCUUACCAGGCCUUGACAUCCUGAUCAUAGAUCUGUGAAAGCAGAUUGUCAGUUCGGCUGGAUCAGUGACAGGUGCUGCAUGGCUGUCGUCAGCUCGUGCCG
rnacentral:rRNA from 1 species